GCAUGAGCGGAGGAAGCAUCUUCCCUCUGAUCAUUUUUCUUGGAUAGAGGGAUAAUAAACAGUCCCAGGAAUCAGCGGCUUGCUCUCGUUUGCAGGAUUUCCCCAGCCUGGGUUUGUUUCCCCUUCUACCUCUCUUCUCCUCCUCCUGGCUCCAGACCUCCAGGUUUUACAUCUCUUCCCUGGCUGUCCCGACUCUUUGGGUGUGUGCCCGUGUGGAUUCAUGAAAGAAAAGGCAACAGAGAGUGAGCUUCCUGCUGCCGCUUAGAAACGGACAGCGAGUGCGUGACCCUUUGCCCGGGGGAUCUGGGGCGAGAGCGAGCGGGUCGAGAGCGGGGGCGUGAUCGGGGGCUGACCCUUGCACUGCUCUGUCUGUGUGCAUCCGUGUGACUGUCUGAGGGGGUUUAUGUAUGUGUGUGUGUCUCCAUAGCUGGCUGGGCGGUCCCAGCCUCACGCUUGGUUAGCGAGGACUAGAGAGCUAGGAUGACAGGCUGAGUUCCAGCCCUGCUUCACCACACACAGAGCCUUGUUUCUGGGUGGCUGUGAGGGCACCGUCCCUCUCCCGCUCAGUCAUCCAGGACAGGAUCGUCUGCAUGCAAGUUUUAAACAGGUUGCUGUUGCUUCAUGACACGUAAACAGUGACAAUGUUUGGACUAAAAGCACCACUUUAUUAUUUACCAGAUGACACCCAGCUCUUCAUUUCCAUUAAGACCACCUCUUCGCUCCCACUUAAGGACAAAACAUAGUCGCACGUACUUGACUCCGCGGACCCACCUGGACGUCCACUGGACAUGUCUGAGCAAAGCUCAAGUAUUACGACCAUGUACGCAUACAUUGUGCCACACAAUAAACAGCUUGGCAGGAAAAAGUCUCCACAUCAAACUGUUUUUAUGUGACACACUGCUCCGAACAGCUGUCGCUAGUAUGCACAGUGUCACGUCCACUCUCUGCCUCGCACUGACAAGUGUAUUCCUCUUCUUCGUCCCUAGUGUGGUUCAAAUUUGUUCUACCUCCCCGUCCAAUUACAACAUGGCAGAAAGUGUGGGAAAUGUAGGAAUUUGUCACCAAAAUCUUAUUUUAAGAUGGGGGCCUCGAUGCAAACCAACCUCGCCCUUUGUACAAAAGUGAUCGCCUCCGUUUGUAAAUCAUAAAGUUAUUGUAAUUAGCUAUAAACUAUUAAUAAUUACCUAUUAUUUAUACAUUUGUUUUGUGCUUUCUCUAUAAGGUUACCCAUGGUGCCUUGAAAGGCACAUACUUAUUAUUUUUAACUUUUAAUGGUCUUUAGUAAUGUCUUUUCCACAGAAUCAAAAUGCAGAGGUACCAGAUCCUGUUCAAAUACUAUGCAGUCAAACAGUGACAAAAAGGUCCUGCCAUAUGUGCUUUAACAAGAAGUCAAAUUUACUGGCCUCAGCAUUUUAUGACUUUCGCAAAUCACUAUUACAUUUUAAUUGGCUAAAUGUACUAAAACUAUGCAUGUAACCUUGCACAUAUACGGAAGCAUGCAUGGCAAUUUAUCCAGGUUUCACCUUUCAUUUUUCAGAUAUUUAAAUGUUCCAAAGCAAAAUGCUCCUAUGUAGACUUAUACUCUGUUACUGUACACAAACAAGUGCUUAUAAAACAUAAUAUGUACACCACAUGCAUUAAGAUGUACCUCAACUCCUGCUGCUUUGUAACCGGUGUGGUCGGUUGUGGGAUUCAUUGGAGUCCUUGAUGUGUGCAGAAGAGUGAUGAUGAGCUUAAUGCACUCUGUCUGUGUCCUGGACGUGACCACCACAUUAAUAUUGUACUAAUACAGCGCACUGUCUGCUGCAUGCUAAUUGCUUACUAUCAUUCUCAUGCAGUCUCUCCCAUGUUCCCAUAUAUAGUCUAUUGUACAGCGAGAAAAGAGAAGACAGACCUCUACAGAGGUACUAAAUCUA